ACAGGUUUUCUUUCUUUGUUAUGUCUACGUGUACAGAUCGUGUUCAAAAUAGAUGCAGCCAUGCCAGACUUCCGUGACCUAAAACGCCUCAUAUUAGUGUACAAAGGAUCGUGUACAAAGGAUGCCAGACUUCCGUGACCUAAAAUGCCAGACUUCUGUUAUGUCUACUUUUAACAGUCACUGAAACAGUACAGCAUAGUUGCAUCAAUCAACAUAUCACAAAUUCUUUGGCCGACGAUAUUUGAGGUUCAGAGCAGUCCUUGAGAGUAGUUUUGACUGGAUUCCAAAUUGAUUUGGAAUUAACAACCUGGAUCACAUGCCCGCGACAGCGCAUUAGUAAUGAAACAAUUCUCGGAUUAGUAAUUCUCGGAAACAAUCAGCAAAGUAGAAUUGUGUCCCUCCAAACUUGUCAGAAUAGCACAACCGCAUAUGAAUCAAUUAACACAGCAAUGGGAAGAUAAAGAAUUAUUGUGAAUAGCAAAGAAUAGGUAAGAUCGCAUGAAAAUAUGUUACCUUUCUAGAUUCUAAACCUGUACAAUAGCAAGCUGCGCUUGUGAUCUUCGACGGCCUUCAUCAGCCUGCAGGAAGAUGAACAUGACAUCUUAGCAUCUUGGAUUCUUAACAUGUAUCCAGCAGAGUCAGUUCACAAAAAAUGCAAAGUAGCAAAGUCUGACAGGUUUGGAGGGACAUAAUGAAACCUCACGCCCACCAAAUAUGUUACCUUUCUAGAUUCUAAACCUGUACAAUAGCAAGCUGCGCUUGUGAUCUUCGACGGCCUUCAUCUGCCUGCAGGAAGAUGAACAUGACAUCUUAGCAUCUUGGAUUCUUAACAUGUAUCCAGCAGAGUCAGUUCAGAAAAAAUGCAAAGUAGCAAAGUUUGUUCGACAUGUCUUUCUAUUUUCAUAUAUAUAGCAAGACUCAUAAAUCUGUAACAUCCUGCCCUUAUGGACUGAAUCUGUUGGAUAUGUCUUUUUUUAGUAGUUACAUAUGGGGACUCCACACAGCAAGCCAGCGGAACAGACAACUUCAUCACAUGUACCUGCAGGUAUAUGUUCACCUAUAAAUUGUGCUACACAAGUCAAACAUAUAUAUGUUCAACUAUAUAUGUGUUGCAGGCCCGAUGGAGGGGACAAGUGUUGACGACUCUAACGAAGUGAUUAUACCCGUAGCCGAUGAUGUUGACAAAAUUUACCCACGUAGUCCAGGUAUAAGGUUUAUUUUUAUCCUUUUUAGUUGAAAAUCAUACCUAACAGACUUGGGCACACCCGAUUCUAAUGUAUCAACAUCUUUACUUCUAGGAGUCCAUAUUACUCCCUCCGAACGAAUGAUACUUGAGACCGAUGGUGAUAGCACAUAUGAUACUCCAGGUAUAUAUCAACCUCCUUGUAUAUGUUGAGCUACAUAUUUUGGUAUGGAUGUCAAACACCAUCACAGGAGAUGUUGCAGGCCCGAUGGAGGGGCCAAAUGGUGACGACUCUAUACAAGGAGUUAUACCUGGAGCCGACGAUGUUCACAAGAAUUACCCAAGUAGUCCAGGUACUAAGGCUGUGCAUAUAUACUGAGAUUGCUUUUAUGCUUUUUAUUAUGUGAUAAAUCAAACCUAACACACUUGGGCAGAGCCGAUUCUAAUAGAUCAAGCGUGUUACUUGUAGGAGUCCAUAUUACUCACUCGGACAUGACGAUACUUGAACAGGCCGAUUGUGAAAUGACAUAUGUUCAUCAACCUUCCCAUCUGAUUUCGGGUACGUAUUAUGUUGUAUAAAGGUUAAGACCAUGUGCCUAGAACUUUGCCUUGUUUCUGCGAUGAUAUUAUAUAUACUGAGAUUGCUUUUAUGCUUUUUAUGUGAUAAAUCAAACCUAACAGACUUGGGCAGAACCGAUUCUAAUAGAUCAAGCGUGUGACUUGUAGGAGUCCAUAUUACUCACUCGGACAGGACGAUACUUGAACAGGCCGAUUCUGAAAGGACAUAUGUUCAUCAACCUUCCCAUCUGAUUUCGGGUAAGUAUUAUGUUGUAGAAAGGUUAAGACCAUGUGCCUACAACUUUGUCUUGUUUUCGGUUCAAUAUAUUGUUAUGUUAACAUGAUGCAGACAACCCUCCAAUCUCAUUCCUAUAUAAUGUAGAUUCGUUGCCAGCUCUCAGUUAUCUGACAAAAUAACUAGCUAGCAUGCAACGUGACAGUUGGCAAGAGAGGCCGCAUAAUGUUCCACGCCAUCCUCACAGUGAUAUCACUAAUGCAGAUCAACCAUCCUCUGUGGACCUUGACGAAAAAAGAGAGUUGAUAAAAGCUCGGAGGCGAGCUGCUUAUAGAAAGAAAAAAGAGGAGGCUACCGUCAAGCAACAAGAGGAAAAUCUGUCUGCCCUUACGAUAUCAGGUAAGAAUGCUUUAUGGGAAGGCACUGCGAUGAUAUUAUAUAUACUCCCUCCAUUCCAGAAUAUAAUUUUAAUAUCAUUUCACAUGCAGAUAUGCUGAAUGUGGGUGGGUUACCUCUCGGUGAUAUCACUAAUGUGUGUCAACCAACCACGGUGGACCUUGACGAUAAAAAAGAGCAACUAAAGUCUCGGAGAAGAGCUGCUUAUCGAAAGAAAAAAGAGGAGGCAGCCAGCAAGCAAAAAGAUGAAAAUCUGACUGCCCUUUCGAUAUCAGGUAAGGAUGUUUAUGUUUCAGCAAUAUGAUGACCGUAUGUAUACUUUCUUAGUGAAUAAUGUAGGCGACAUAUGUUUCCUCACCCCAACCCCACGAAUUAUUGACCAAGAAUAGAGAAUAAAAAUAAUUGACCAAUAGUUGACCACUGUGUUAACAUACAAUUCCUGAUCAUUUAGCUAUACAUCAUUGUUUAACCUGACCGUGCAUAUAUAUAAAGUAAGCGUUUGUGUAGUACAUGAAAUAUUCUUGGACAAUGAAGACCCUAAACCCUACGUGCAGAUAUGCAAAAUAUUCCCCUGCUACCUCUCGGUGAUAUCACUAAUGGGUGUCAACCAUUCUCGGUGGACCUUGACGAGAAAAAAGAGCAAAUAAAGGCUCGGAGGAGAGCUGCUUAUCGAAAGAAAAAAGAGGAGGCAGCCAGCAAGCAACUAGAUGAAAAACAGCCUGAGGAAGAACACAAGGGUGACUUAACGGACGAGCAAACUGAGCAGAGAAACGCGCGGAAGCGAGCAAGUUAUCGGAGAAAAGUGGGGGACGGAACGAUCGAUCUUCAAGAAAAAAAUCAGAAGUUGCAAGAAUGGCGCGUGCAACACCCUAAAACCAUGACUGAGGAUGAAAGGGGGGAGUCAAGUGCAAAGAGAAAGGCAAAGUAUGCUGCAAAGAAAUACAUGCCAUGUGCUGAAUCGAUCGCAAUGCCACGUCCAGAUCUAAGUAGCACAUUGUCCAACCCUCACACACAUUGUCCGACUCUCACACUUUCAGCCCUCACGCAACAAUUCGACAGUGAACAAAUAGAUCAUGCUCCUACGAUCAAUGCGGCCCCCACAUACAUUCGCAACACCGAAACCGAUGGUACAUAUCCUAUCAACCAUCAUCUUUCAUCAUGUAAUAAUUCAUGAGAUAUAAAUAAUGAUGUAUAGUGUUGUAGGUGCAUACCUAAGCAGAACCUUCGGUGAUGGUGCUGUAGAUGGCGACCUGAUCGAAGGUACAAUAGCGGAUAAUGGAGUGGACGGGCAGAGUCAUGAGUCCAGAGCAGCGCCUGGGAGGAGAGAGCGAGCUUGCAAGGGUGGUGUGGUGGCAAAGAAGGGUCAACAGAAAAUUGUGAAGCAAAAAAAAUGUAUGCAGGUAGCGCAUGGUGAAAGGAAUGUUCUACGCGAUCGACGUAAUGAAAAGUUUGCAGGUAGGGUGAUGACCCCAACCGUCAGGUCCAUCUCCAUUCCGAAAAUGAGCUCAACUGGACAACCUACCGUAGUGGAAGCACAUGGUGCCUCGACCUCAUCUAGCACGCCGGAGUACACGAUCAGAAGUGAAGGUAAAACUCCCAUCCUUACUCUUCUUGCGUCCCUUGAGACUGAACCCUCAUUUAUUGGUUCCGUACCUGAGCAGACGACAUGGACGCUUACCUUAGUCGUCUCAUGAAUGAUAAUGUCAACCCUGAUAGCCUCUUUGACGACGAGUAUUACCUGUUUGCUGGUGAAGGUAUGUACACCCACUUGAGCAACAUGCACCCGUUUGAAAUAUCACACUAAUUAUAAAAAUUGUAUGCAGGCUCAGAUCCUGAUGACGUGGAGCACGACGAAUUGGAAGACUCAAGACACAAUACCUAUGUCGACCAUGAUCCAUUGGACUAUGUCUACUCAAACCUCCCAGACCACACACACAUCCUGAAGCACGCCGCAAAUUGCGAUCACUGCAAGGCCAAGAAGUUUGUGUCUGAGGCCCCGGGAUUCUGCUGUCGCAGUGGGCAGAUCCAGCUGAAGCAACCGGAGCCCGUCCCGGAGCUAAUGAGGCUUUGGUCUAGCAUGGAUUCUGACUCAAGGCAUUUUCGGGAUAACAUACGAUUCUUCAACGGCCACUUCUCCUUCACAACCCUCGGCGUCAGCAUUGAUGAAAGCUACACAAACAUGAAGUCUGGGGUGUACACGUUCCGGGCGCACGGCACCAUCUACCACAACGUUCAUUCCUUCGGGCCAACAUCAUGUCCAGAUCAUCUACAGUUGUACUUCUACGACGACGAUCCAGGCCUAACCCAUCGCAAGGCUGCCACCGAGCAAUUAGACCAAGAUGUCGUCAAAAAGUUAGUGGACAUACUCAGGGAAAACCCGUACUCCCAGCAGUUUAGGAGUUUGGGUGCGCACAGGGACAACCUCGACGAUUACAGGAUAGACCUCAACACUGACCAGAGACUAGACCAACGGAAGUAUAAUAGACCUCUGUCAUCGGAGGUCGCUGCAAUUUGGGUGGAGGGCACUGACCUAGCAAAGAGGUUCGAUCGUAGGAUUACACUUUGCGGGAAUGACAACCAGAGGCACAGUAUACAUGUGACGGCUGGCUCGUAUGACCCUCUCUCUUACCCACUCUUCUACCCAAGGGGGGAGCUCGGUUGGCACCCGAAACUUCCUAAACGUGAUGUCCCUUGGCCGGUUGUGCAACAACCAAGAGGUAGAGGUGAUGAUGAUGAGGAUGAGGAUGCAGGUAAGCCUUAUGCAUAUUCCGUCGUUUAGAUGAAUUGUAUACUUCUCAUAUGAAUCCUAAUGUCUGCGUUACUCAUCCAUGUGCAGAGGGGAAUAGCAGGUUAUGCGUCUCGGUGAGAGACUACUACUGUUACAUGCUCCAGACACGACCUGGGAUAUUCAAUCCCAUACUCUGUGGAGCACGAUUGCUCCAGCAAUGGGGGGUGGACAUGUACAUCAAGAUUGAGAGUUGUAGGUUGAAAUGGUACAGGAAGAACCAAACAAAGAUCCGUGCCGACCUGUAUAAAGGAGUUGUUGAUGCAAUUACAUCCGGGGAGACCCGGGCAAGCGCUGUUGGAGUAAGGAUAGUGCUACCUGGAACGUACCCAGGUGGCGACCGCGACAUGAAGCGGAGGCAUAUGGAUGCCAUGGCAAUUGUCCAUACUUACGGGAAGCCUGGCAUCUUCUUGACCAUGACCUGCAACCCUAACUGGGAAGAGAUAACGAAUGAGUUGUUUCCUGGUCAGACAGCGCAAGACCGACCUGAUCUUGUGGCUCGUGUGUUCCAUGGCAAGCUAGAGGCUAUGAAAGAGAUGUUGUUCAAGAAGAAUAUCCUGGGUGUUGUUGUUACACAUGUAUACAUAGUCGAGUUCCAAAAGAGGGGCCUCCCCCACGCACACUUUUUGUUGAUCAUGGAUUCUGCCUAUAAGCUUGUCGUUCCAGAGCAGUACGACCGACUCAUUUCUGCCAAGCUCCCAGACAAGCAAAAGUAUCCUGAACUCCACGCCUUGGUGGUGAAACAUAUGAUGCAUGGACCAUGCGGUGCUCUCAACCCCAAAAAUGUUUGCAUGCAACAGAACGAGUGCAAGUGCAGAUACCCGCGGUCGUUCAAUGAAAACACGGCACAGGGCAAGGACUCAUACCCUGUUUAUCGUCGUCGAGAUAAUGGUCGGCAGGCUAAGGUCCGGGGUAAAAUGUUGGACAACAGAUGGGUUGUGCCGUAUAACCCUUACCUGCUGCAGAUGUUCAAUUGCCACAUAAACGUUGAGGUUUGCUCCAGCAUAAAGGCCGUCAAAUACCUUUACAAGUACAUAUACAAGGGCCAUGAUAGGGCUUCUUUCAGCAUCGACCAGCCUGACGCUGAUGGUAACAUUGAUGAGAUCAAAAGAUACGUAGACGCGAGGUGGGUUACUCCUCCAGAGGCGAUGUGGAGGAUAUUUGGCUUCCCCUUGUGUGCCAGUGACCCGUCUGUCCUACAGUUGCCUCUUCAUCUCCCGAAUAUGCACAGGUUGGCAUUCAAUGAGCAAGCUGACUUGACCGACGUAGUCGCCUCUGAGAAAGCUUCCAAAUCCAUGUUGACAGAGUAUUUCAAAGCUAACCAAAACCACCUGUGGGCUAGGAAUAUAUUGUACAAGGAUUUUCCUGGAAGGUUUACAUGGCAGAAGGGUAAGAAGUAUUGGAAAGAGCGGGUGGAGCGUUAUCAGAUAGGUCGAAUUGUGUCUGCCAAUCCUGCCGAGGGGGAGCGAUACUAUCUGCGUGUGCUGCUAAACCAUGUUGCUGGCAAGACAUCCUAUGAGGACCUGCUCACCGUGGACGGUAGGCUAUGCGGGAGCUUUAGAGAGGCUGCCGAAAGGUUGGGACUCAUCGAGGCAGAUAACACGCUCGACGACUGUCUUACUGAGGCAGAGCAGUGGGCGAUGCCAUGUUCGCUCAGGAGGCUCUUUGCAACAAUUUUGGUGCACUGUGAGCCAGGCGACGUGCGUGGUUUAUGGGAUAGGCACUUCGAGCCUAUGUCUGAUGACUAUCGGGGAUCACACACGUGCCCGAUUGAGGUGGAACAGAUGGUGUUGCUUGACAUUAGGGGUAUGUUGCAGUCCACGGGCAAAGACAUAGCUGAUUUCUCUCUUCCAUGCAUUGACGAUGCAUUCGACCCAACCGAGGGAGAGGCCAGAGAAGUGAUCGAGGAAUCCAACGUCGAUUUUGACAUCAACGACACUAAAUUGGCUUCGUCACUAAACUUGGAGCAGAGGGUUGCAUACGACGAGAUACUAGCUUCUAUUGAACGCGCUGAUGGGGAUGUGUUCUUUGUUGAUGGACCGGGAGGUACAGGGAAGACCUUCCUGUACAGGGCGCUGCUCGCCAAGGUUCGAAGCGAGGGAAACAUCGCUAUCGCUACCGCGACGUCAGGCGUCGCCGCUUCUAUCAUGCCUGGAGGCAGGACUGCCCACUCGAGGUUCAAGAUCCCAUUGAGCUGCGACGAUGGCGCCUCAUGCACCUUCACGAAACAGAGUGGUACCGCCAAGCUACUGAGGAUGGCCUCAUUGAUACUAUGGGACGAGGCCACCAUGACUAAGCGACAGGCGGUCGAGGCACUUGACAACAGCAUGCGCGACAUCAUGGGAAGACGGGACCGACCCUUUGGAGGAAAAACUGUUGUGUUUGGCGGGGACUUCCGGCAGGUGCUUCCGGUCGUCAGGAGGGGGUCCCGGGGUCAGAUAAUCGAUGCAACCCUUCGAAGUUCACACCUCUGGAAGGGUAUGCGCCAGCUAAGGCUCGUCACCAACAUGAGGGCUCAUAAUGACACCUGGUUUGCGGAUUACUUGCUAAGGGUAGGCAAUGGCACUGAGGAAGUUGACGAUCAAGGAAACAUACGACUCCCUGAAGAUAUUUGUGUGCCGUCUACAGGCGAGGGUGAUGACCUAGAGAAGCUGAUUGACCAUGUGUUUCCCAGACUAGAUGACAACAUGUCCGAUCCGAAUUACAUGACUUCACGCGCAAUCCUCUCCACCACGAACGACAACGUCGACAAGAUAAACAUAUGCAUGGUAGAGCGUUUUCGGGGAGAAGAAGUAAUCUACCAUAGCUUUGACAAUGCAGAAGAUGACCCGUAUGGCUACUACGCUCCCGAGUUCCUAAAUGGAUUGACUCCCAACGGUCUGCCUCCUUAUACACUCAAACUGAAGCUCAACUGCCCCGUCAUACUUCUGAGGAACAUUGAUCCGCCUAAUGGUCUGUGUAACGGGACGAGGCUUGUGGUGCGAGGUUUCAAGAGGAACGCCAUCGACGCAGAAAUCGUGAUCGGACAACACGCAGGUAGGAGGGUAUUCCUUCCUCGAAUACCCCUAUGCCCGUCUGACAACGACAUGUUUCCAUUCAAGUUCAAGAGGAAGCAAUUUCCUGUAAGGCUUAGCUUUGCUCUGACGAUUAACAAGGCUCAAGGCCAGACGAUUCCGAUUGUUGGCGUGUACCUACCUAAUCCUGUGUUCUCUCAUGGUCAACUCUAUGUCGCACUGUCUCGAGCCACCGCAAAGAGAAACAUAAAGAUCCUCAUUGAGAAGGAGAAGGAGAAGGAGAAUGCCAAGAAGCAAAGCGGUAAACCUAAGAAGCGAAAAAGACCUGCCUUGUCCUUACAAACCUCGAUGAAGAACAUCGUCUAUAAGGAAGUCCUUACAGGCUGAAGUCCGCUCUUAAGAAGCUGGCCGGUUUUGAAUAAGAUAAAGGAUUUACUCUUUUGCUACAGACAAGUUGGUGCUCUUCCGUGUUCUUGUACAAAUAUUUAUCUUUCGAUGUUAGCAACUGAUUAUGUUUAUUCAACAAGUCAAAUAUUAAUAAUAUUGCCUCGGAUUUGUGACUUUGCAAGUUGCCAAUUUUUCCUGUAUGUGACAUUAUUUCUCCUUUUGCCGGAUUGCAUGUAUAUUAUUCUUUUGUUGUUUUGUAAUCAAUCAUCUACUCCAUCUAAACUAGGCUUUGUUUUCCUACAUAAGUAUUGCACACUGCCUGGGUCACUCCGUUGUUGUAAAAUUCACUGGAGUGUUCUACAUUAGAGAAAUAUUUAUGAUGCGGCCCCAAAGCAGGCUCAGUCAAUGUUAUUUAUUUUUGUCAUGUAUAGUCUCUUAUUUGCCCCUUAUUUGAAUUUUAUAAUCGUGGCUUUUCAAUACAUAUCUAAACAGACAUGAUGUGUUUCUAACUACUUAGUUGCAGGUUUGGCACAAGUAAACGGAUGGAUGCGUGUUGACAUCUUCAUGAUCUCACAAAUAUUUCCAGUAGUAUUAUUUUCCUUUCAUUGUGCCAUAUUCUGUCAGUUGCUUUUCCUAUUGCGUGUAUAUUGCAGAUAAAUAAGAGUUUUAAUGAAUUGUUGGAACCUGGACAGUACCACACUUUAUAACCACCUAUUAUUCUGCCACAAAAUGUCCAUUUUAUAGCUUAUCAGGUGCGCUUCUUUCUGUUCGUGCCUUCAAAAUAUCAAACCAGAGGACAUCUACUAAUAUAUUUUUGUAGCUCUGUUGCUUCCCAUGGUACAUGAGCUAUCACUGUGGUUCAUCUACUAAUAUAUUUUUGUAGCUCUGUUUUCAUGUGAACAUUGUAUACAUGGCAUGUACUAUGAAAGAACAGUAUGUACAUAUCGGUAUUUUUUUUUCUAUGUCACAUGCAUCUGAUCCUAUCGUUCUCCCUAUAUGUCGUCCAAACACAUCUAUAUGAACCUAUAUGUCGUAAAAGUGCAUAUGUACUUCUCAGUUCUUAUAGAGAACGAAAACUGGGUGGCACGCAUUAUCAGAGUUGUGUAUAAUCAUUUAGGGAAAUGUGAAAAAGUAAAAAUCCCGUGAAUUGGGAAUACAGAAAUUCAAGUAGGUAGGAAGUAAUGACAUACCAAAUGAUAAAGAAUAGCACCACUGCAGCUACAAAAUCGCAAUCGGGUGCUCAAAGCUCUGAACUCAAUUCACCCUGAAAAACAUAGUCAUCUGAAGUCAGACUGCAUGAUAGUCGGAUGGGACAAAAUCAAUUGACUGUCUAAAACCUUCCAUAGGGGACAUACAAAUAUUUUGCGGUAUAUAGGUUCCUACUGACAGUUCAAGAAAUGCAAACAUAUAGCACUAUUAUGUUAAAUAGGUCACCCUAAACCAUGCUAUAGAUUAACCAUGGUCAUGAGCCCAAGCAUAAUGACUACCCGUACAAAGCAAAAAAUAGGACCUUGGAGAUAUGUAAUGUAAAGUCAAAAAUAAUAAUUAUCAUGCUUUCCUUUUGUUCCCUGAAUCGAUAUUUUUAGAAAGCAAAAUGGAAAUACAAGGCACACAUCGUUAAGAAAGAGAUGGUCAUAUUCUAAUAUUAACUCCUGCUCAUUGUGGACGGAAGGCUAUGUGGUAGAGCCAACAGCCGACCAAAACACCUGUAUUAGGAGGGGAUUUGUUACCUCGAUGUGUUGAUAAGGCAAUGGAUUGGUCAUGUCCCACAGGAUCACGCAGUGGACGUAGUCAUUGACACAUUGGGGAAUCGGCUCGGG
rnacentral:lncRNA from 1 species